UGCUUACACAUGCAAGUCGAACGAUGAACCUCCUUCGGGAGGGGAUUAGUGGCGAACGGGUGAGUAACACGUGGGCAAUCUGCCCUGCACUCUGGGACAAGCCCUGGAAACGGGGUCUAAUACCGGAUACUGACCCGCUUGGGCAUCCAAGCGGUUCGAAAGCUCCGGCGGUGCAGGAUGAGCCCGCGGCCUAUCAGCUUGUUGGUGAGGUAAUGGCUCACCAAGGCGACGACGGGUAGCCGGCCUGAGAGGGCGACCGGCCACACUGGGACUGAGACACGGCCCAGACUCCUACGGGAGGCAGCAGUGGGGAAUAUUGCACAAUGGGCGAAAGCCUGAUGCAGCGACGCCGCGUGAGGGAUGACGGCCUUCGGGUUGUAAACCUCUUUCAGCAGGGAAGAAGCGAAAGUGACGGUACCUGCAGAAGAAGCGCCGGCUAACUACGUGCCAGCAGCCGCGGUAAUACGUAGGGCGCGAGCGUUGUCCGGAAUUAUUGGGCGUAAAGAGCUCGUAGGCGGCUUGUCACGUCGGUUGUGAAAGCCCGGGGCUUAACCCCGGGUCUGCAGUCGAUACGGGCAGGCUAGAGUUCGGUAGGGGAGAUCGGAAUUCCUGGUGUAGCGGUGAAAUGCGCAGAUAUCAGGAGGAACACCGGUGGCGAAGGCGGAUCUCUGGGCCGAUACUGACGCUGAGGAGCGAAAGCGUGGGGAGCGAACAGGAUUAGAUACCCUGGUAGUCCACGCCGUAAACGGUGGGCACUAGGUGUGGGCGACAUUCCACGUCG
rnacentral:rRNA from 1 species